rnacentral:lncRNA from 1 species
GUAGGACAGGGGCUAUCAGGGCUGCACUUUUCACAGUGUGGGGUGGGUUGGGGGUGCUAUCUAGGGUGUCACUGCCUGCAUUGGGGGUACUGGUUGGUAGCAUUAUAUGGGGCUGCACUGCCCAUGGUGGGGGGAGUGUUAUGGGCGCUCUCUGGUGCUGCAGUGCCCAUAGAGGAGAACAGGUUAGGGCACUAUUGGGUAUACGCUGCUGGUGGCGUUGGGGGGGGGGGUGGAGGUGGGGGGCGCUAUUGAGGGCAGGAUUAGCCAUGGAGGGGGGCAAGUUGGGUACUGUUGGGGGCUGCACUGCUGGUGACGGUCAGCAGAGUUGGCAGUGACAGUGGUGGCAUCCAAGGAAGGAGCGGUUCUCCUCUCCCUGGACUCCACACUCCAGAGGGCAACCUACUCUUGCUCAUACUGGAGCGUGGCAGACACACAGUGUUUCUGUGGAAAUCCUGAGCAUGGCAGAGCCCCCAUACCCACCGUGGUUCCUGGGCCCAUGCACUCUGAGUCUGUGCCACAGAGACUGCCUGGCACCCCCCAGUAUGGAGUAGCAGACACCACUGAGGACAGGGCCCUGUAUGUGGAGGCAUCCGGAACAGGAAGUGGCACCUGGGUGCAGAGGGUUGGCUGGGUCUGAGUUUCUGCUGCUCCUGCUUCCCGAGGAGUGCAGCCCAGGUGGGCCCAGCAGUUCCUGUGGAGUGAGGAGCCAGGCACUGUGGUGUCUCCAGCACCCACCCCAGGUCCCGGUUUCUGGCCAGCUUGGGCCAAAAGGAGAGGCUGGACUUUGAAGGGUGGCUGUGAGUGCCUUCACUGAAACUGGCCCCUGCCACCCAGUGGCUGGCAUGACAAAGUGAGGCUCUGACGCUACCACCCCUUGCAUCUUCCUCUAGGAUUUUCUGGCUUUGCCGUCCCAGCUGCUCCGUGCCAGGAGUAGGAGGAGACACCUGGAGCCUGCAACGCCGCAGCUCACUUCUCUGUGGGCUCGUGGGGGCAAUGCAGACUGCAGUGUGCUGGAGCGGUAGGAGGGCAGGUGGCUGCGGCCAGGGUUGGGGCAGGCCUACAGCGGUGGCCAGGCUGUGGCAGCGGCCAGGUGGUAGGAGCCUUGUAGGGAGGGCUGAUGCAUUCACAAUGGGCCUGGCUAUGCCCUGCCCGUGCUGUGGACCUGGCCCUGUACUGCCCUGCCCUGCCCUGGACCUGCCCUACCAUUACCUGGACUGUCUCAGCCCUGCUCUGCUCUGGUCCACAGCACGGGCAGGGCA